rnacentral:misc_RNA from 1 species
GGACCAAAAAAUAAAACAAGUUGAAAAGAAAUAGAAAAUGAAUAUACAAAUAGCGUGUUUAGAUUUGUUAAUCUACCCACCCCAAGGUUAACAUUUAUCCCCUAAAAAGAAGUUAAAUGUUAAUGAGGUUAAAAAUUAACCUGUUCACUUUAAAGCAUUCAAACAGCAUUAAAAAUUACAAAGUUAAUUAUUAACCCUUAUUAAUC